UUGACCUUAACUCCAACCUCUGACCUGCACAAUGCCACUGUAGCAUGUGAAGUGAGCUACGGAAGCAAAAACCUCAAUACAAGUAGGACCCUCGAAGUCAUGUAUAAAGCAGCUUUUCAAAUGCAUGUGGACAUCAAAAUGAUAACAGCAUGUUUGACGGGAAUAUCCAUUUCAGCAGUCAUCCUCUCUGUGGUUUUGUGCUGUCAAGAGUCUUGGAAAAGCAAAGACAAGACACAUGAAGUGGUGACCACAAACACAGACACUGAAGUUGUACUGGUGGUUUUUCCUGGAGAAAAUAUGAGGACAUAUAGUAUG